rnacentral:rRNA from 1 species
GUAGGUGGCAAGCGUUGUCCGGAAUUAUUGGGCGUAAGGCGCGCGCAGGUGGUUCUUUAAGUCUGAUGUGAAAGCCCCCCGGGCUCAACCGGGGAGGGUCAUUGGAAACUGGGGAACUUGAGUGCAGGAGAGGAAAGUGGAAUUCCACGUGUAGCGGUGAAAUGCGCAGAUAUGUGGAGGAACACCAGUGGCGAAGGCGACUUUCUGGCCUGUAACUGACACUGAGGCGCGAAAGCGUGGGGAGCAAACAGGAUUAGAUACCCUGGUAGUCCACGCCGUAAACGAUGAGUGCUAAGUGUUGGGGGGUUUCCGCCCCUCAGUGCUGCAGCUAACGCAUUAAGCACUCCGCCUGGGGAGUACGGUCGCAAGACUG